rnacentral:lncRNA from 1 species
GUGCAGCUGGGCAGCAGCCUGUCUGGGAUAAACGCGGAGCCAGGAGAAGCUCCCCAACACAGGAAAGGGAUUUGAACAACUUGCAAAUACACCAUGCUGGACACACUAAGAUAAGCAAAAUCAACUUCCAUCAACCAGGAGUCUGUAUAUGCUUUACCUGGUUCCUCUGCUCAGGGUGUCCAAAGGCUGUGGUCAAGAAUCCCAUCUAGGAUAUCAUAUCACAUUGAGAUGUCAAGUUUCCUUUGGCUGUUCUUGGCUGUGGCAGUUUCUCAGACUUCUGUAG